GCCAUGCUCAGUGGUAGAGUGCAUGCUUUGUAUGUAUGUUGUCCUGGGUUCAAUUCCCAGCUCCUCUCCAUGUCG